rnacentral:rRNA from 6 species
UUAAGUUAGAAAGGGCGCACGGUGGAUGCCUUGACACUAGGAGUCGAUGAAGGACGGGACUAACGCCGAUAUGCUUCGGGGAGCUGUAAGUAAGCUUUGAUCCGAAGAUUUCCGAAUGGGGAAACCCACCAUACGUAAUGGUAUGGUAUCCUUAUCUGAAUACAUAGGGUAAGGAAGACAGACCCAGGGAACUGAAACAUCUAAGUACCUGGAGGAAGAGAAAGCAAAUGCGAUUUCCUGAGUAGCGGCGAGCGAAACGGAACAUAGCCCAAACCAAGAGGCUUGCCUCUUGGGGUUGUAGGACAUUCUAUACGGAGUUACAAAGGAACGAGGUAGACGAAGCGACCUGGAAAGGUCCGUCGUAGAGGGUAACAACCCCGUAGUCGAAACUUCGUUCUCUCUUGAAUGUAUCCUGAGUACGGCGGAACACGUGAAAUUCCGUCGGAAUCUGGGAGGACCAUCUCCCAAGGCUAAAUACUCCCUAGUGAUCGAUAGUGAACCAGUACCGUGAGGGAAAGGUGAAAAGCACCCCGGAAGGGGAGUGAAAGAGAUCCUGAAACCGUGUGCCUACAAAUAGUCAGAGCCCGUUAAUGGGUGAUGGCGUGCCUUUUGUAGAAUGAACCGGCGAGUUACGAUCCCGUGCGAGGUUAAGCUGAAGAGGCGGAGCCGCAGCGAAAGCGAGUCUGAAUAGGGCGUUUAGUACGUGGUCGUAGACCCGAAACCAGGUGAUCUACCCAUGUCCAGGGUGAAGUUCAGGUAACACUGAAUGGAGGCCCGAACCCACGCACGUUGAAAAGUGCGGGGAUGAGGUGUGGGUAGCGGAGAAAUUCCAAUCGAACCUGGAGAUAGCUGGUUCUCCCCGAAAUAGCUUUAGGGCUAGCCUUAAGUGUAAGAGUCUUGGAGGUAGAGCACUGAUUGGACUAGGGGUCCUCAUCGGAUUACCGAAUUCAGUCAAACUCCGAAUGCCAAUGACUUAUCCUUAGGAGUCAGACUGCGAGUGAUAAGAUCCGUAGUCAAAAGGGAAACAGCCCAGACCGCCAGCUAAGGUCCCAAAGUGUGUAUUAAGUGGAAAAGGAUGUGGAGUUGCUUAGACAACUAGGAUGUUGGCUUAGAAGCAGCCACCAUUUAAAGAGUGCGUAAUAGCUCACUAGUCGAGUGACUCUGCGCCGAAAAUGUACCGGGGCUAAAUACACCACCGAAGCUGCGGAUUGAUACCAAUGGUAUCAGUGGUAGGGGAGCGUUCUAAGGACAGUGAAGUCAGACCGGAAGGACUGGUGGAGUGCUUAGAAGUGAGAAUGCCGGUAUGAGUAGCGAAAGACGGGUGAGAAUCCCGUCCACCGAAUGCCUAAGGUUUCCUGAGGAAGGCUCGUCCGCUCAGGGUUAGUCAGGACCUAAGCCGAGGCCGACAGGCGUAGGCGAUGGACAACAGGUUGAUAUUCCUGUACCACCUCUUUAUCGUUUGAGCAAUGGAGGGACGCAGAAGGAUAGAAGAAGCGUGCGAUUGGUUGUGCACGUCCAAGCAGUUAGGCUGAUAAGUAGGCAAAUCCGCUUAUCGUGAAGGCUGAGCUGUGAUGGGGAAGCUCCUUAUGGAGCGAAGUCUUUGAUUCCCCGCUGCCAAGAAAAGCUUCUAGCGAGAUAAAAGGUGCCUGUACCGCAAACCGACACAGGUAGGCGAGGAGAGAAUCCUAAGGUGUGCGAGAGAACUCUGGUUAAGGAACUCGGCAAAAUGACCCCGUAACUUCGGGAGAAGGGGUGCUUUCUUAACGGAAAGCCGCAGUGAAUAGGCCCAAGCGACUGUUUAGCAAAAACACAGCUCUCUGCGAAGCCGUAAGGCGAAGUAUAGGGGGUGACACCUGCCCGGUGCUGGAAGGUUAAGGAGAGGGGUUAGCGUAAGCGAAGCUCUGAACUGAAGCCCCAGUAAACGGCGGCCGUAACUAUAACGGUCCUAAGGUAGCGAAAUUCCUUGUCGGGUAAGUUCCGACCCGCACGAAAGGUGUAACGAUUUGGGCACUGUCUCAACCAGAGACUCGGUGAAAUUAUAGUACCUGUGAAGAUGCAGGUUACCCGCGACAGGACGGAAAGACCCCGUGGAGCUUUACUGUAGCCUGAUAUUGAAUUUUGGUACAGUUUGUACAGGAUAGGCGGGAGCCUUUGAAACCGGAGCGCUAGCUUCGGUGGAGGCGCUGGUGGGAUACCGCCCUGACUGUAUUGAAAUUCUAACCUACGGGUCUUAUCGACCCGGGAGACAGUGUCAGGUGGGCAGUUUGACUGGGGCGGUCGCCUCCUAAAGUGUAACGGAGGCGCCCAAAGGUUCCCUCAGAAUGGUUGGAAAUCAUUCGUAGAGUGCAAAGGCAUAAGGGAGCUUGACUGCGAGACCUACAAGUCGAGCAGGGACGAAAGUCGGGCUUAGUGAUCCGGUGGUUCCGCAUGGAAGGGCCAUCGCUCAACGGAUAAAAGCUACCCCGGGGAUAACAGGCUUAUCUCCCCCAAGAGUCCACAUCGACGGGGAGGUUUGGCACCUCGAUGUCGGCUCAUCGCAUCCUGGGGCUGUAGUCGGUCCCAAGGGUUGGGCUGUUCGCCCAUUAAAGCGGUACGCGAGCUGGGUUCAGAACGUCGUGAGACAGUUCGGUCCCUAUCCGUCGUGGGCGUAGGAAAUUUGAGAGGAGCUGUCCUUAGUACGAGAGGACCGGGAUGGACGCACCGCUGGUGUACCAGUUGUUCUGCCAAGGGCAUAGCUGGGUAGCUAUGUGCGGAAGGGAUAAGUGCUGAAAGCAUCUAAGCAUGAAGCCCCCCUCAAGAUGAGAUUUCCCAUAGCGUAAGCUAGUAAGAUCCCUGAAAGAUGAUCAGGUUGAUAGGUUCGAGGUGGAAGCAUGGUGACAUGUGGAGCUGACGAAUACUAAUAGAUCGAGGACUUAACCAU